rnacentral:tRNA from 1 species
GGGCGCGUAGCUCAGUUGGUUAGAGCGCGUCACUGAUAAUGACGAGGUCGAAGGUUCGAUUCCUUCCGCGCCCA